UUGAACGCUGGCGGAAUGCUUUACACAUGCAAGUCGAACGGCAGCACGGGGGCAACCCUGGUGGCGAGUGGCGAACGGGUGAGUAAUGUAUCGGAACGUACCCAGUCGUGGGGGAUAACUAUCCGAAAGGAUAGCUAAUACCGCAUAUGCCCUGAGGGGGAAAGGGGGGGAUCGCAAGACCUCUCGCUUUCGGAGUGGCCGAUAUCGGAUUAGCUAGUAGGUGAGGUAAAGGCUCACCUAGGCGACGAUCCGUAGCUGGUCUGAGAGGACGACCAGCCACACUGGAACUGAGACACGGUCCAGACUCCUACGGGAGGCAGCAGUGGGGAAUUUUGGACAAUGGGCGAAAGCCUGAUCCAGCCAUACCGCGUGAGUGAAGAAGGCCUUCGGGUUGUAAAGCUCUUUCAGCCGGAAAGAAAUCGCAUUCCUUAAUACGGGAUGUGGAUGACGGUACCGGAAGAAGAAGCACCGGCUAACUACGU
rnacentral:rRNA from 1 species